UGAUUCGAUUCAAAGCGCUAUAGUCCA
rnacentral:sRNA from 1 species